rnacentral:rRNA from 1 species
UACGGAGGGUGCAAGCGUUUGUUCGGAAUUAUUGGGCGUAAAGCGCGCGCAGGCGGCCUGAAAAGUCUAUGGGUGAAAUGCCGGGGCUCAACCCCGUGUGUGCCCAGGAUACUGUCAGGCUGGAGACACGUAGAGGCAAGCGGAAUUCCGGGUGUAGCGGUGGAAUGCGUAGAGAUCCGGAAGAACACCGGUGGCGAAGGCGGCCCGCUGGGCAGGAAGGCCCC